CCAAAGUGCUGGGAUUACAGGCGUGAGCCACCGCGCCCGGCCGAGGUCGUUAUGAUUAUUAUUAUCCCUGCCUUACAGGGGUAGAGAGGUCACUUGUAUGUGAUGUCAGCACCUCUGCUAUCCUUCCUAAUGUCUUGCUCUUUGGACUUGUGGACUCACAUGGAUCUUGGAUUAUCGGAAUGACAGGCCAAGAAGAAGAUUCUGGGAUCCCAAAUGUGUGAGGAUUUUUUCCCAAUGGCAAGCAAACAAUCAAUUCUGCAGCAGACACCAGUUAAAAUACAAAAAGAAGAAACCCGGUGUUCAAAAACAAUUUCAGAACUCAAAUUUACAUUUCCCCUGGAACAAUGAAGCUGCCAUCAUCCUGAAAAGUAUUUUCCUGGAACAAUGAAGCUGCCAUCAUCCUGAAAAGUAUUUUCACAGGAAAAAAAGGAAGACAGGCAGGCAGCCAGCCAUGUGUGUCCUCUCUUCUUCUUUAUCACCAAGAAUGACUGGGAGCUAGAGCAGCAAUGUUGAUGGGCAUUGAUCUGUUUCAGAAACAUCUCAAGGACUGAGAAAUGACUUCGGGCAUUCCCUUUUCAAAAGAUGCUAUCUCAUUUCCUUACUAAAGAGAUGAGAAAAAGGGUGGAAAUUGAGAGAUGCAAGGUGCAUGAAAUUAUCAACAUGUUACCAAGAAGAUGAAUUCUGUGUGUGACCCGUCAGCAUCGUCGAUACGUAACAGUGUUAUGGCAGAGCUCCAGCAUAAAGCCACAGCAUGACACCAGGGUUGGAGAGGACCUAAUACCUGCAGUCUUGGGCAGCCAGGGGAUUUGUUGCUCUACACCAAUUUGCUCAAAUAUAGAAAACAUAUAUUUACUGUUUCCUGUAGAUGUAUCAGCAGCUCCUUUCCCAGGGAUGGUUGAAAAGCUUUGGCUCCGUUUUGCUGUCUGCUCUCUAAACUUUCUACCCUUCUUUAACUUGCUGACUAUCCAUUUGGAUGCUGGCUGACUGAUUUCUCAAUGAACCUCCUCUUCAAAUUGGGCUUUCACAAAUUGAACAUACUAUCUGUGGUGGGUAGUAUUGUCCACAGGUAUCCACAAGUGAGGGAGAAGGCAGCAUAUUGAAUAUACUCUCUGUGGUUGGUAGUGAGAGGUGACAGCGUGCUGGCAGUCCUCACAGCCCUCGUGC
rnacentral:lncRNA from 10 species